UCUUACACAUGGGCAAAGGAAGUAGUUUCUUGAGAUAGAAUCUACUCCUGGUGAAGAUGCUGCGAA
rnacentral:pre_miRNA from 1 species